AGCAGUAGCCGCGGUAAUACGUAGGGUGCAAGCGUUAAUCGGAAUUACUGGGCGUAAUGCGUGCGCAGGCGGUUCGUUAAGACAGAUGUGAAAUCCCCGGGCUUAACCUGGGAACUGCAUUUGUGACUGGCGGGCUAGAGUAUGGCAGAGGGGGGUAGAAUUCCACGUGUAGCAGUGAAAUGCGUAGAGAUGUGGAGGAAUACCGAUGGCGAAGGCAGCCCCCUGGGCCAAUACUGACGCUCAUGCACGAAAGCGUGGGGAGCAAACAGGAUUAGAUACCCGCGUAGUCCCUGUCUCUUAUAC
rnacentral:rRNA from 1 species